rnacentral:rRNA from 1 species
AGUGAACGCUGGCGGUAGGCCUAACACAUGCAAGUCGAACGGCAACACAGUAAGAGCUUGCUCUUACGGGUGGCGAGUGGCGGACGGGUGAGGAAUACAUCGGAAUCUACUUUUUCGUGGGGGAUAACGUAGGGAAACUUACGCUAAUACCGCAUACGACCUACGGGUGAAAGCAGGGGAUCUUCGGACCUUGCGCGAUUGAAUGAGCCGAUGUCGGAUUAGCUAGUUGGCGGGGUAAAGGCCCACCAAGUCGACGAUCCGUAGCUGGUCUGAGAGGAUGAUCAGCCACACUGGAACUGAGACACGGUCCAGACUCCUACGGGAGGCAGCAGAGGGGAAUAUUGGACAAUGGGAGCAAGCCUGAUACAGCCAUACCGCGUGGGUGAAGAAGGCCUUCGGGUUGUGAAGCCCUUUUGUUGGGAAAGAAAAGCAGCAGGUUAAUACCCCGCUGUUCUGACGGUACCCAAAGAAUAAGCACCGGCUAACUUCGUG